rnacentral:misc_RNA from 1 species
GCGGAAGGAUCAUUAACGAGUUAGGGUCCCUCGCGGCCCGACCUCCCCAACCCUUUGUCUACCUGACCACUGUUGCUUCGGCGAGCCCGUCUGUAAUGGACCGCCGGGGGGUACCUUGAUCGGCCCUCUGGUCCGCGCUCGUCGAUAGCCAAACUUUUAAAAUCUUAACCAAACGUGUCUCAAUCUAAGUAUUAUUUGUUAAAUAAAAGCAAAACUUUCAACAACGGAUCUCUUGGUUCUGGCAUCGAUGAAGAACGCAGCGAAAUGCGAUAAGUAAUGCGAAUUGCAGAAUUUCAGUGAGUCAUCGAAUCUUUGAACGCACAUUGCGCCCUUUGGUAUUCCGAAGGGCAUGCCUGUUCGAGCGUCAUUAUCACCCCUCAAGCCCCCGGCUUGGUGUUGGACGGUUUGGUGGAGGCCCCCUCGCGGGGCCACCGCCCCUCCCAAAGACAAUGACGGCGGCCUCGUUGGACCCCCGGUACACUGAGUUCUUCACGGGACACGUAUCGGACACAUGGGUUUACGGGACACGGUCUGCCUCCCCUCAGGGAGAAUCUUUCUAAGGUUGACCUCGGAUCAGGUAGG